rnacentral:lncRNA from 1 species
GCUGCUUUCCACAGGCAUUUCCCAGAAGUCCCGGGUGGGAAAGAGCGGAGAAGGGAUGGAGCCCCAAGCGGAUCUGGGAGCGCCUUGGCACGACCCCCAGUCUCCUGCAAGGACACAGCCCCGGAGAGCACAGCCCCAGAGAGCACGGAGCUGUCUGGACGCCAGGCCUUGCGAGAGCGCCUCCACUUCAGCCACCAUAAGCAACCCAGCUAACCCUGAACUCAAUGCCCCGGGAGCGGGGGAGUGGGUCAGUCACGCGCCUGGAGAAGGAACCCACGAGUUGUCCUCCUCCCCGCCCCCCCACCAGCGAUAGUGCCGGGACCGGGGCGGCCCUUACACAUCCUGCCCCAAGCCACAGAACGCACUUCGGGGAGCGUGUCGGCUGCCAAGGAAACAAAGGCGGUGCGGGGUAGCAGGGUUCCCAAAUGGACUCAGCAC